GCCUCGCUAGCUUAGUCGGUAGAGCAUUGGGCUUUUAACCCGAGGGUCAAGGGUUCGAGCCCCUUGUGAGGUG
rfam:Enterocytozoon hepatopenaei strain TH1 scaffold_00013, whole genome shotgun sequence.